ACUGGAGAAGAAAUACUCUUCUCUUUCUAUUUCCGGCACUUAACAGGCUGCUGCGAGAUAGCUGAUCAGACUGCACAGCUGUGGUGACAAACUGAUGAAUUAUGAACAAGGGCGAUGAUGCGGAACCGUAGAAAAAGUGAACUAGUCACUUUCCAAGAAGGAGUUCGAGCUAUUUCACUUUUAUUGUGGCACCGGAAUGGUGGUGUUAAAUAGAAAACUUAUUUUUUUUUUUUUUUUUUUUACAAAUGGCCGCUCGUUUUAAUCUUCACACUCUUGUCUUACAGGAAGCUGCAAGCCUCGUAGCAAUGCCCGAGCUCUGCCCUGGUUGGCAUGGUAACGACAGCCUCAGUCUGCAUUGGCCCAGCAGUACAGGGGACUGACUGAACAGUUCAGUUCAACCAAGCUGAACUGCAUUCAUUGGAUUGCACAGUCACAACUAUAAAAAUUGUAGCCAGCGACGAAAAUGAGUAAUUUAGUCUAAUAUACACACACACAAAGAAAACACAUAACUAGAGGUUGUUGUUGUAGCUUUCUUCAGGACACGGAAAUAUUUACGUUCAACCUACUUGCCUACUAGCAAGGCCAAAAUGUCUUGCAUAGUUACUCCAUUUUAAAUUGGGGAGGAAACCACUAACUAACACUGAUCGAGUUGAUCCUAACAAAUGGUAAUCAAGAUGAUCCCAACAGUUACUCGCACGAGUGAUUGUUGCAGAGAAGAGCAACAGCGUGAUCACUUACUAUUUCUGCCGCGAGGAUCAUGCCUUUUUGGGUCCUCACGUAACUUUUCAGCUUCUCCAUGCAGCUGGCAUCAGAGCCGGACGCUGACGUAUCGGCCAUUCUUAUGUCUUAUGUCGAAAUUUAAAUGAAAGCAGUCAGAAGAGAAAGCAAACGAAACGAAGCAACUGAAAGUUGUUGUCGUUGUUUUUCGCAGACGGCCCAAAGUGCACCGCUGCUCCCGGACGUAAGCUAGCUAACUUAAAAAAAAAAAAUAUAUAUAUAUAUAUAUAUGUACAUAUAAACAACAAGUGUGGGUGAAGUCGGUCAGGGGAAGCACAGUAGCUACGAAGAAGCCGUGCUCGCUGCUUGAAAGCUGAGAGGGCGGAGUGAGUCAAGAGAGAGAAGACUCGAGGAGCGGUCAGUGGGGCGUUGGCUAGCACUUUUCGCCAUUUCUCCCCAGGGGAACUGUGCUGCGUUCAAGAUCAACUGGGAACCCCGGAAGUCUCAAGUCCGAAACGCCACCCAAAGAAGGACAUUUCCGAUCCACGUUCCUCACUUUUCAAGAAACAAAGACUAAAUUAGGAUGUUACACUUAGAUAGGGUAUUUUCAUUUCUAUUUUACAUUUCGAAAUAGGUUAGGCACGCUGUCUUUGCCCUUUGCUGUUUUGUGAAGAAAUUACGAAUUUUACAGAACGAAACAGUACUCUCUGUUGCCUUCAGAUAUCCACGGACACAUCGCCUUCCUCAACAUUAAGCCAUUUCCGGUACAGUACUUUAUUCCCCCUUGGUUUUGAAGGCAGCGUGCUAUAAUUCAACGGCAUGCUUCUGUGGAAGUUAUGAUUCAUCGUAGUGGUGGGCAAAGUCUGGGUCGGGCGCCACGUACGGCCAGCUCUGAUUAUCAAGAAUCUUGUAUUAGUUGCAUGUUUUUUUUCCUUAUUAAUUGAAAUGUAUUCAUGCAUAUUUUAUUUAUCUUAUUAAAUAGUUGGUUGACUGAU